rnacentral:rRNA from 1 species
CCUACGGGAGGCAGCAGUUGGGAAUAUUGGACAAUGGGGGAAACCCUGAUCCAGCGACGCCGCGUGAGUGAAGAAGUAUUUCGGUACGUAAAGCGCUAUCAGCAGGAAAGAAAAUGAUGGUACCUGACUACGAAGCCCCGGCUAACUCCGUGCCAGCAGCCGCGGUACUACGGAGGAUGCGAGCGUUAUCCGGAUUUAUUGGGUGAAACGGGUGCGUAGGCGGAAUGCCAGGUCAGCGGUAAAUUCGCGGGGCUCAACCUCGCUACGCCGUUGAUACUGGCGUUCUUGAGUGGGCGAGAAGUAUGCGGAAUGCGUGGUGUAGCGGUGAAAUGCAUAGAUAUCACGCAGAACUCCGAUUGCGAAGGCAGCAUACCGGCGCCCAACUGACGCUGAAGCACGAAAGCGUGGGUAUCGAACAGGAUUAGAUACCCCAGUAGUC